GAUGACCUCUGGCGGCGUGCCUAAUACAUGCAAGUCGAACGCUUCACUUCGGUGAAGAGUGGCGAACGGGUGAGUAAUACAUAAGUAACCUGGCAUCUACAGGGGGAUAACUGAUGGAAACGUCAGCUAAGACCGCAUAGGUGUAGAGAUCGCAUGAACUCUAUAUGAAAAGUGCUACGGGACUGGUAGAUGAUGGACUUAUGGCGCAUUAGCUUGUUGGUAGGGUAACGGCCUACCAAGGCGACGAUGCGUAGCCGACCUGAGAGGGUGACCGGCCACACUGGGACUGAGACACGGCCCAGACUCCUACGGGAGGCAGCAGUAGGGAAUUUUCGGCAAUGGGGGAAACCCUGACCGAGCAACGCCGCGUGAAGGAAGAAGUAAUUCGUUAUGUAAACUUCUGUCAUAGAGGAAGAACGGUGGAUAUAGGGAAUGAUAUCCAAGUGACGGUACUCUAUAAGAAAGCCACGGCUAACUACGUGCCAGCAGCCGCGGUAAUACGUAGGUGGCGAGCGUUAUCCGGAAUUAUUGGGCGUAAAGAGGGAGCAGGCGGCACUAAGGGUCUGUGGUGAAAGAUCGAAGCUUAACUUCGGUAAGCCAUGGAAACCGUAGAGCUAGAGUGUGUGAGAGGAUCGUGGAAUUCCAUGUGUAGCGGUGAAAUGCGUAGAUAUAUGGAGGAACACCAGUGGCGAAGGCGACGAUCUGGCGCAUAACUGACGCUCAGUCCCGAAAGCGUGGGGAGCAAAUAGGAUUAGAUACCCUAGUAGUCCACGCCGUAAAC
rnacentral:rRNA from 1 species